AUGGCAGGCCUUGGAUGGUGAACAUCUCAGCAGAAACCUACUUUUCGCACCAGAGAGACGACAUGUACAGCUACUUUUUAUACACACACGAGGUGGUCCAUACUGGCAGGAUGUCAAGAUUCCAUUUUCAAAAUUUUUCCUGUCAAGUCGGGGAAGAGUUCAAGAUGAUCAGCACCCCCUCUGGCUGGACAAGGUGAACACCAUCAGCUUCACAUUGGGAGAUAAAGCAGACGGACCGUUCCAGUUGGAGAUUGAUUUUAUUGCUUUGUGUAGCGAUCACGCUCACACAGAAGAAUUUGCUUAUGAACUGUACAAAAGAAACCCAGAGGUGUAAUGGUGUCGGUGCUGAAAUCGGACCUGUUACGGACUGAAAAUGGCAUCAUAAAAACAAGAACACAGAUGUACAAAAACACUUUUGUUUAAUAGCAAAUAAAUGCAACUUCAUCGUUCUUACCCCCUGAACAA